GGCGGCGUGCCUAAUACAUGCAAGUCGAGCGGAAGAUGGGAGCUUGUCCCUGAUGUUAGCGGCGGACGGGUGAGUAACACGUGGGUAACCUGCCUGUAAGACUGGGAUAACUCCGGGAAACCGGGGCUAAUACCGGAUGGUUGUUUGAACCGCAUGGUUCAAACAUAAAAGGUGGCUUCGGCUACCACUUACAGAUGGACCCGCGGCGCAUUAGCUAGUUGGUGAGGUAACGGCUCACCAAGGCAACGAUGCGUAGCCGACCUGAGAGGGUGAUCGGCCACACUGGGACUGAGACACGGCCCAGACUCCUACGGGAGGCAGCAGUAGGGAAUCUUCCGCAAUGGACGAAAGUCUGACGGAGCAACGCCGCGUGAGUGAUGAAGGUUUUCGGAUCGUAAAGCUCUGUUGUUAGGGAAGAACAAGUACCGUUCGAAUAGGGCGGUACCUUGACGGUACCUAACCAGAAAGCCACGGCUAACUACGUGCCAGCAG
rnacentral:rRNA from 1 species